rnacentral:rRNA from 1 species
UGGGGAAUAUUGGACAAUGGGCGCAAGCCUGAUCCAGCAAUGCCGCGUGGGUGAAGAAGGCCUGCGGGUUGUAAAGCCCUUUAAGCGGGGAGGAAAGCCGGGGUGUGAAUAGCGCCUCGGGGUGACGUUACCCGCAGAAUAAGCACCGGCUAACUCCGUGCCAGCAGCCGCGGUAAUACGGGGGGUGCGAGCGUUAAUCGGAAUUACUGGGCGUAAAGCGUGCGUAGGCGGCGCAAUCAGUCAGCCGUGAAAGCCCCGGGCUUAACCUGGGAAUGGCGGUUGAGACGGUUGGGCUAGAGUGGGCUAGAGGAUCGUGGAACUCCCGGUGUAGCGGUGAAAUGCGUAGAGAUCGGGAAGAACACCGAUGGCGAAGGCAGCGGUCUGGGGCCACACUGACGCUGAGGCACGACGGCGUGGGGAGCAAACAGGAUUAGAUACCCUGGUAGUCCACGCAGUAAACGAUGAACACUAGACGCCGGGGGGUGACUUUUCGGUGUCGUAGCUCACGCGCUAA